UAUCGGAUUGAUACUAAGCCAUGCGAGUCAUUGCAGUAAUGCAAGGCAGACGGCUCAGUAACGCGUAGUCAACCUACCCUAUGGACGGGAAUAACCUCGGGAAACCGAGUAUAAUGCCCGAUAGAACACUAUUCCUGGAAUGGUUUGUGUUCCAAAUGAUUUAUCGCCGUAGGAUGGGACUGCGGCCUAUCAGUUUGUUGGUGAGGUAAUGGCCCACCAAGACUAUUACAGGUACGGGCUCUGAGAGGAGUAGCCCGGAGAUGGGUACUGAGACACGGACCCAGGCCCUAUGGGGCGCAGCAGGCGAGAAAACUUUGCAAUGUGCGAAAGCACGACAAGGUUAAUCCAAGUGGUUUGUGCUAAACGAACCUUUUGACAGUCCUAGAAACACUGUUGAAUAAGGGGUGGGCAAGUUCUGGUGUCAGCCGCCGCGGUAAAACCAGCACCUCAAGUGGUCAGGAUGAUUAUUGGGCCUAAAGCAUCCGUAGCCGGCUCUGUAAGUUUUCGGUUAAAUCUGUACGCUCAACGUACAGGCUGCCGGGAAUACUGCAGAGCUAGGGAGUGGGAGAGGUAGACGGUACUCGGUAGGAAGGGGUAAAAUCCUUUGAUCUAUUGAUGACCACCUGUGGCGAAGGCGGUCUACCAGAACACGUCCGACGGUGAGGGAUGAAAGCUGGGGGAGCAAACCGGAUUAGAUACCCGGGUAGUCCCAGCUGUAAACUAUGCAAACUCAGUGAUGCAUUGGCUUGUGGCCAAUGCAGUGCUGCAGGGAAGCCGUUAAGUUUGCCGCCUGGGAAGUACGUACGCAAGUAUGAAACUUAAAGGAAUUGGCGGGGGAGCACCACAAGGGGUGAAGCCUGCGGUUCAAUUGGAGUC
rnacentral:rRNA from 1 species